ACAGCAGCAGCAAUAACAGCGCCGCAGCAGCGGCGUGUUGGGAAAAUGGAAAUGAAAAUGAAACAAGCAGCGUAUUGAUUUUUCCUCUUCAGCCCCAUCGCUUAACUCAACUCCCUGGCGUUGUGACGUCAAUGGGCCACCAGCACGCGCCAACAUCGCAAGGGGAUGGAACUCGGAGGGGGGAACAAUCGGGAGGCCCACUACCUGAAAUCCUUGGCAGGCCUCAUUCGUGCUAACCAAAUGUAUCGGAGGGGAAUGCUCUGGGUGAAACAGGCGGGCAUCCCUCACAUUGUUUGUGGAUUAGAAGUCCCUCAUUCACGGCGCUGCCAGAGUUGACAAAAAUGUAAAAGUUGCGUGACGCCGCCAAAGUGGGCGCACUUUCUUUCUGUUUUCCACGCCUGUGGGUGGGCGUGGCGCGACGAACCGGCUCGGCCAUCCAUUCAACCAAGAAGCUUGUUAUAAUUUUCAUGCGCUAUUUAACAUAAUAAAGCAAUAAGCCGCCGCACCACGCCGCUGAGGAGGAGAGUCGGAAAGAGGAGGCAAGCAUUUCAUUUAUGCCACUCGCGCCGUCUCUUUUGCUCCGUUUGUGUGUUGGUUUUGUGUCAACUUAAUGCAAAAACAGGGGGAGGGGUAAAACUAGCAACUAUAAUAAACAAGUGUGCAGGCUUAA
rnacentral:sRNA from 1 species